UACGAAAUAUCAUUGAUCAAUUUGUCUUUAAUAUUAUAUAUUUUUUUAAAUGAUGUUUUAUCUCUUUUUCAGGACCAGCGACUAUGGUUACUUGCUAAUAUCCCGAGCUCGACCAAGAAGCUUGUGGAUAUUAGUUCACAGGAGGAGGACUUCCAGGAGGAUGUUUCUAAGACCGUUCACAUUGAGUCUGUCGACGGAGCACGCGCUGUUGACUUGACCGUGAUUCAGGAUUCUCCAGUUAAACCUCCUCCCGUAUA